UGUCACUUACAGAUGGACCCGCGGCGCAUUAGCUAGUUGGUGAGGCAACGGCUCACCAAGGCGACGAUGCGUAGCCGACCUGAGAGGGUGAUCGGCCACACUGGGACUGAGACACGGCCCAGACUCUACGGGAGGCAGCAGUAGGGAAUCUUCCGCAAUGGACGAAAGUCUGACGGAGCAACGCCGCGUGAGUGAUGAAGGUUUUCGGAUCGUAAAGCUCUGUUGUUAGGGAAGAACAAGUGCAAGAGUAACUGCUUGCACCUUGACGGUACCUAACCAGAAAGCCACGGCUAACUACGUGCCAGCAGCCGCGGUAAUACGUAGGUGGCAAGCGUUGUCCGGAAUUAUUGGGCGUAAAGGGCUCGCAGGCGGUUUCUUAAGUCUGAUGUGAAAGCCCCCGGCUCAACCGGGGAGGGUCAUUGGAAACUGGGAAACUUGAGUGCAGAAGAGGAGAGUGGAAUUCCACGUGUAGCGGUGAAAUGCGUAGAGAUGUGGAGGAACACCAGUGGCGAAGGCGACUCUCUGGUCUGUAACUGACGCUGAGG
rnacentral:rRNA from 1 species